CAACCCUCAAGCCCCGCUUGGUGUUGGGGUCCUACGGCUGCCGUAGGCCCUGAAAGCUAGUGGCGGGCUCGCUAUAACUCCGAGCGUAGUAGUAAAAUAUCUCGCUAGGGAGGUGUCGCGGGUUCCGGCCGUGAAAGCCCCAUCUUUUACACAA
rnacentral:misc_RNA from 1 species